rnacentral:sRNA from 1 species
CAAUGGCCCGACAGCUAUUCCAAAUCCGUUUUAAAACGGCGGCAAAUGCUCAGCAGAGUCAUCGAUAACGACCAAUACUUCUCUUACUGGGCGUGCCCUCCCCCCCAAAGCACGGCCAGUUGAGGGAGCGAGGAGCGUGACCUCAAACUCCUAUAUGGUCUUACCCGGCGUUGAGCCGG